GCGACUGACUGCUAAAAAUUUUGUGUCAGUUUAUUUUCUAUUUGGUAUCCAUCAGGAGUUAAAUACAAGUCAUUUUGAGGUGGAAUAGAUAUUUUAGGAUCUUCAGUGUAUAUUUGCUCAUCUCCACGAUCUGGAGGCGCUGCGGUCAUUACGGGAACCUGCCAUCAGAGAGAUAGCGAAAACUGUACGAUAUGAACGUCACGAAGCAAAUGAUAUUCUCUAUUGCCGAGACGACCUGAGUACAUGUUGGUUCAUCCUCCUGUCGGGCUCUGUGUUUAUAGACCAUGCCAUGUACCUACCAAGAAG